AACUGGCUGUAGAGAUAACUUGAUCAAGAGAAAAUUGUCAAGGUAAGGUAAAUUGAUGGAUUACCAGAAACUACUGAGAAAUGAAAUGAAAUUAACUAAGUAAAAAUGAACAGACUCAAUGAUUGAUUACACAACCAUAUACGAGGCAUGCUGAGGUCUACUGAAGAUUGGCAGCAAAUAAACAUGAAGAAGCAUGAAGCUCAUAUAACAAAAUUUUAUGUAGCUUGGUCUUCAAGUAACCCAAACAACAACAAAUAAUCAUCGUCUAGUAUCUUCACAAGAAUUAGCAUGAAGAGCAGUUAUAAAAUGUCAACAACAACAACUAAGCCUUAA
rnacentral:misc_RNA from 1 species